GUACACUCCUGCGGGAGGCAGCAGUGGGGAAUUUUGGACAAUGGGGGCAACCCUGAUCCAGCAAUGCCGCGUGAGUGAAGAAGGCCUUCGGGUUGUAAAGCUCUUUUGUCAGGGAAGAAACGGUGGUGGCGAAUAACUACUACUAAUGACGGUACCUGAAGAAUAAGCACCGGCUAACUACGUGCCAGCAGCCGCGGUAAUACGUAGGGUGCAAGCGUUAAUCGGAAUUACUGGGCGUAAAGCGUGCGCAGGCGGUUGUGUAAGUCAGAUGUGAAAUCCCCGGGCUCAACCUGGGAAUUGCAUUUGAGACUGCACGGCUAGAGUGUGUCAGAGGGGGGUAGAAUUCCACGUGUAGCAGUGAAAUGCGUAGAUAUGCGGAGGAAUACCGAUGGCGAAGGCAGCCCCCUGGGAUAACACUGACGCUCAUGCACGAAAGCGUGGGGAGCAAACAGGAUUAGAAACCCGGGUAGUCCCAUGA
rnacentral:rRNA from 1 species